rnacentral:lncRNA from 1 species
GCCCAGAUGCAUCUUGGAGUAGAGAAAAAAAAAAAGUUACUAGUUUUCUUCUUCGACACACCCAGAUGCAUCUUCGUCGAUCUAAUCAAGUUUGACGGCGAACGGGAGAACGGAAGCAGAUUUUUUGAUAGAGGCGUCACGGUGGUGGUGGCUGUGCUGCCGCUGCGAUUGCCGGAGAUUGAGUGGCUGCGGCGCAGCGAGAGAAGAAGGAGAGGGAGGGAGAGAGAGAGUUCAGC